AAAAAGGCAAACCGUGGGUUUCCGUGCCAACGUUUGACUGUCCGUCUUAUAUGAAAUUUUUUUAUAAUUAGUAUUUUCAUUGUUGUUAGAUGAUAAAACAUGAUUAAUACUUUAUGCGUGACUUAUCUUUUUAAUUUUGUUCAUAACUUUUUCAAAUAAGACGGAUGGUCAAAUGUUGGACACGAAAACCAGGGUUUGUCUUUUU
rnacentral:pre_miRNA from 1 species